GACAAUUGACUAACAACCUCUACCUUCCCCUCCCCCAUUCCCCACCAACUAUGUGACUGGCUAUUUUUACACCCACAGGCCAAACUGUGCAUGUAGAGAGAAGGGAGAGAGGGUGGUCCACAUAGCAGCCAGCCAACCCAGAGGGAGGUGGCACCACAGAUAGCCUAAAUCUGCAAAAGUAUGAGACCCAAAUACUUCAAUACUGUAUAAUAUAUAGGGUAUGAAAUUUGGCAUUCUGGUCUCUUCAAUUCCGGCAUGGUGAGCUGUCUGGUGUGCCAACUCCCACCACACAGGAGCUGUUGGAGACACAAAUCAGUGAAGACUGAAGACUGCAGGAUAGUCUCGUGACUGUCAGACAGUGCAGCAGACACAGAGGGACUUGAAGGAAUCAUCUGUCAUCAUAACUAAAAUGUUCACCUAUUUACUUCCACAGGAGUACUUUGCAACAAAAUGUGACUUAUUUUACGGAUUUCCAAAGUAAAACAUUUUAAAGAUAUUAAUCCAUGGCUUAGUGAGAUUCCUUGACAUUGUAUGACUAAUAUAGACCCAGAGAUUUUCAUCAAGUUACUGUUUAUUAUUCCAACAGUAUCUUCAGUAAUUUGUGUGGUAAAACUGUCCUUUUGUUCUCAAAAAUUAGCAAUUAAAAAUAUUUUUAAACCCUUUAUUGAUAAGUAUUUACAACAAACGUAUUGGAAAUAUUUAGAACAAGCAAAAUAUUCAUAUGCCAAAAGAAAGAAUUACAAUUUUUAAAAGCACACAACAUUGCAGCUAUAUUCUUGGAAAAAAUAUAGCUGAUAAUAUAGAUUGUCCAAAUACACCAUCUUGGGAUGACUGCUCUGUGACGAGAACCCAGAGUUCCACAAUGCUAAGACAUAAACUGUCUGUAUGCAGCCUGCCGUCUUCACCUUCAUCUGGAAAUUCAACUAGAGCACGCAGGUUAUUCAGAUGCUCCUGGCCAGACACAGGACUCCCACCUCCGGAGUGUUGGUGAUGUUGCAACAAGGUGGAUGUUGCACUCAGCACUUCCUCUCCACCACAGAUGGCAUCUCUACACCUCUGGGAGAUGCACCAGGAAGGCUGCCCGGGGACAGGAGAUGAUGUUGGAGAAGAGGCACAAGGGCUGAGUAGCUCAAGGCCUGGAUCCCAUUCCAAACAUUGCUCCAACACUCACUGUGUCCACUGUAAAUUCAACUGUUGAAUGUGCUGCUAGUGACAGAUAAAAAUCUUCUUCUUUUCCUUUCGGCUUUUUCCCUUUAGGGGUCACCACAGUGAGUCAUCCGUCUCCAGGUCCAUCCUCAGCAUCCUUCUACUGAUGUAUUCAGUGUCUCUCCUCUGUACAUGUCCAAACCAUUUCAAUCUGGCAUCUCGGACUUUAUCUCCUACACGUCUGACAUGAGUUGUUCCUCUGAUGUAUUUCUGAUCUUAUCCAUCCUUGUCACUCCCAAAGAGUACCUCAACAUUUUAAUCUCUGCUACCUCCAGCUCUGCCUCCUGCCUCUUUGUCAUUGCCAGUGUCUCUAAACCGAACAGCAUUGCUGAUCUCACUACUGUCUUGUAGACCUUUCCCUUCAUUCUUGCUGAUACUCUUUUGUUACACUUCACACCUGACAGUUUUCUCCACCCAGCAAGGGCAUCCGGCAUAAAACAUUUGCCAAAUCUGACAUGCGAGUCAAGAAUAUGAUCUCCAGUGACAGAUAAAAAUAAUUACUGAAUAUUAUAAACAUUAUUAUAUUUAUCAUUG